rnacentral:rRNA from 1 species
GUAAUAGCUCACUGGUCGAGUCGGCCUGCGCGGAAGAUGUAACGGGGCUAAACCAUGCACCGAAGCUGCGGCAGCGGACGUAUCACCCAAGCAGAUUCACUGAAGUGGAUAACGAUUGACGGAGCGCAGCGACGUCAAUGCGCCAUCAAAGUCGAGUCGACUUCGGGAUACGUCCGUUGGGUAGGGGAGCGUUCUGUAAGCCGUCGAAGGUGUGCUGUGAGGCAUGCUGGAGGUAUCAGAAGUGCGAAUGCU